rnacentral:rRNA from 1 species
UACAGAGGGUGCAAGCGUUAAUCGGAAUUACUGGGCGUAAAGCGUGCGUAGACGGUUAUGUAAGUCGGGUGUGAAAGCCCCGGGCUCAACCUGGGAAUUGCAUUCGAGACUGUGUAGCUAGGGUACGGAAGAGGGAUGCAGAAUUCCAGGUGUAGCGGUGAAAUGCGUAGAUAUCUGGAGGAAUACCGGUGGCGAAGGCGGCAUCCUGGACCGGCAUUGACGCUGAAGCGCGAAAGCUAGGGGAGCAAACGGG